UACGGGGGGGGCAAGCGUUGUUCGGAAUUACUGGGCGUAAAGGGCUCGUAGGUGGCCAACUAAGUCAGACGUGAAAUCCCCAGGCUCAACUUGGGAACUGCGUCUGAUACUGGAUGGCUUGAAUUCGGGAGAGGGAUGCAGAAUUCCAGGUGUAGCGGUGAAAUGCGUAGAUAUCUGGAGGAACACCGGUGGCGAAGGCGGCAUCCUGGACCGGUAUUGACGCUGAGGCGCGAAAGCUAGGGGAGCAAACGGG
rnacentral:rRNA from 1 species